rnacentral:lncRNA from 1 species
CACAGUUCAAACAGAGAAGACCAGGCCGGUCCCACACGUCACAGACUCACGGACCGUGGCACAUAAAUCCACCCUAGGCCCGUACAUACCCACCCCCUACGCCGCCGCUGUGCACAGCACAUCACCGCACAUCAGAUCAGAGCCAGCCAGACAAUUCAAACCGCACCGGGGAGGGGCGGAGGGCUCCACGCUCCCUCACACCCACGCCGCGCUGCUUCCGGAUUCGUUCCAAUCCCCCACCAGUCCAAAAUCGCACAGAAAGGUCUCGAAUCCAAAUCCACCCGUCGCGAUUCAAACCAGCCACCCCCCGCUUCUCCCUCCCCUCCCCUCCUCCGCCCCUGCUCGCGCGGCGCCGCCGCCGACUCCUCCUCGCCGGGCGGGCGAUGGAAACCCUAAUGGUGGACCGCGUCCACAGCNN